AUUGAACGCUGGCGGCAGGCUUAACACAUGCAAGUCGAACGGUAACGGGUUGAAAGCUUGCUUUCAAUGCUGACGAGUGGCGGACGGGUGAGUAAGGCUUGGGGAUCUGGCUUUUGGAGGGGGAUAACCAUUGGAAACGAUGGCUAAUACCGCAUAGUAUCGAGAGAUGAAAGGGGUGGGAAACCACUUGCCAAGGGAUGAACCCAAGUGAGAUUAGGUAGUUGGUGGGGUAAGGGCCUACCAAGCCGACGAUCUCUAGCUGGUCUGAGAGGAUGGCCAGCCACACUGGGACUGAGACACGGCCCAGACUCCUACGGGAGGCAGCAGUGGGGAAUAUUGCGCAAUGGGGGGAACCCUGACGCAGCCAUGCCGCGUGAAUGAAGAAGGCCUUCGGGUUGUAAAGUUCUUUCGGUGGUGAGGAAGGUGGUAGUGUUAAUAGCGCUAUUGUUUGACGUUAGCCACAGAAGAAGCACCGGCUAACUCCGUGCCAGCAGCCGCGGUAAUACGGAGGGUGCGAGCGUUAAUCGGAAUAACUGGGCGUAAAGGGCACGCAGGCGGGACGUUAAGUGAGAUGUGAAAGCCCCGGGCUUAACCUGGGAACAGCAUUUCAUACUGGCGUACUAGAGUACUUUAGGGAGGGGUAGAAUUCCACGUGUAGCGGUGAAAUGCGUAGAGAUGUGGAGGAAUACCGAAGGCGAAGGCAGCCCCUUGGGAAGAUACUGACGCUCAUGUGCGAAAGCNGUGGGGAGCAAACAGG
rnacentral:rRNA from 1 species